UACGUAGGGUGCGAGCGUUAUCCGGAAUUACUGGGCGUAAAGCGCACGCAGGCGGUUCGCCAAGUUUGGAGUGACAGCUGUCGGCUCAACCGACAAAGGACUUCAAAAACUGGUGAACUUGAGGACGAGAGAGGAACAUGGAACUCCAGGUGUAGUAGUGAAAUGCGUAGAUAUCUGGAAGAACACCAAUGGCGAAGGCAAUGUUCUGGCUCGUUUCUGACGCUCAGGUGCGAAAGCCAGGGGAGCGAACGGG
rnacentral:rRNA from 1 species